CAGUCGCCGCGGGAAUACGAAGGGUGCAAGCGUUAAUCGGAAUUACUGGGCGUAAAGCGUGCGUAGGCGGUGAGUUAAGUCUGCUGUGAAAUCCCCGGGCUCAACCUGGGAAUGGCAGUGGAUACUGGCUCGCUAGAGUGUGUCAGAGGAUGGUGGAAUUCCCGGUGUAGCGGUGAAAUGCGUAGAGAUCGGGAGGAGCAUCAGUGGCGAAGGCGGCCAUCUGGGACAACACUGACGCUGAGGCACGAAAGCGUGGGGAGCAAACAGGAUUAGAUACCCGAGUAGUCCCUGUCUCUUAUAA
rnacentral:rRNA from 1 species